ensembl:misc_RNA Y_RNA Y RNA
GGCUGAUCUGAGUGCAGCCAUGUUUACAACUAAUUGAUCUCCACCAGUUACAGAUUUCUUUGUUCUUUCUCUACUCUUACUGCUUUACUUGACUAGCCUAAC